AAUUUGUAUCUAGGCAACCCUUUUAUGUAGCUAGCAUUUUAGGGUUCCUAAAAUACAAUAAAGUCCCCUUCUCAAACAGUAAAAGACUGUCUUGACCAAAUAUAAUUAGGAUUUCUAUCUUAAAUAGAAAGUAAUAAAUCAUUGGGAAAAUAGAGUCUCAAUGUCAACACGCCAUGUAGAAUUAUAGAGCCAAGCCAUGCAAUCUUUUGGAUAUCAACCUUCUUAUAAUACGACAUCAACACGGUCGUGGCAUUUUACAUAGCAAGACUGUGUGACAUUUUAGACAAAAUCACUUGAAGCAUACGUCAUCAACACUGCCGUGGGAUUUCACACACCUAGACCAUGUGACCAUCUAGACCCGAAGAAUCCUUACAAAGUCAGGCUGUGUGUCUUGCUUUCUUCACAUAGCCAUGUCAUGUAACACACUGCCUCCACAUGCUUUGAUGCAUCCAUCUUGUUGUACAACAUCCCCCUUUUUUAGGGGCUUUAGGUGUGUAGCAAAUCUUGGAAUAUGAGUCACUUUACUCAACAAUCUCCAUCUUGGUGAAUAUUCGCACCCUUCGAAGUCAACCUUGGAGAAACUCUCAAGCCAUACCAUCCUCAUGAUGAACACCCAGUGACAAAAAGUAAGUCUAAACAAUGUUUGAACUUCUAUAUAGGCAGCACUUUUGUCAACAUAUCCACUCAUUUUUAGUCGUAUCCACCUUCUUCAAUAAUAUAUCACUUGAAGAAAUCCAUUCUCUUAUUUUAUGAUAGCUCUCUAUAAUAUGUUUGAUCUAAGCAUGGUACACUUGAUUCUUGGAUAAAUCAAUGGACUUUCUAUCAUCUAAGUUCCCUAAAUAGUCUACAUCUGCAUAUCCAAUAAUAGAAAUAGAAUCAUCAUUAGUACCAAAACAAAUACCAUAAUUGCUUGCACCACUUAAGUAUCAGAGAACCCAUUUUACAGCUUAAUAAUGUUCCUUAAUUAGAUUAGCCAUGAACCUCCUAAACUCAUAGACAACAUGAGCCAGAUCAGGCCUAGUGCACACCGUGGUGUACAUUAAACUCAGUAAUGCACAUGCAUAAAGAACCUUUGACAUGACCUCUACCUCAUUUUUUAUUUCGAGGCAUUGCAAACAUGACAGCUUAAAGUCACUUGCCAAUGAGGUAGAAAUAGUUUAGUUUAAGCUUUGUCCAUCACAAACCUUUUUAAAAUCUUCUCAAUGUAUUCUUCUAUGAGAGGCAUAGCUUUCUUUUUUUCUUGUCUCUUUUAAUUUCCAUGUUAAGGAUCUUUUUUGCAGCACUAAGAUCCUCCAUGUUAAAUUCUUUUUUCUAAUAGAGACUUACGGUGGCAUAUGUCACUCAUAUCGUUUGUAGUAAUCAACAUAUAUUAAUAGAAAGAUAUAGGAGCCAAUUUCAUAAAGUAUACACAAUAGUAGAUGAAACCAAUACUCAUCAUGUAAAAGUUGAAGCUCUUGUACCAUUGCCUAAACUAUUACUUCAAUCCAUAAAGGGACUUUUUUACCUUGCACACUAGGUACUCUUUCCCAAGCUCCUUAAAUCCUUUUGAUUGCUUCAUGUAAAUAUGCUCUUCCAGGUCACUAUGUAGGAAAGCAAUUUUAACAUCUAACUGCUCCACCUCUAGAUCUAAUUGAGCUAUUAUACUUAACAACAUCCUUAUGGAAGUAUGUCUUAUCACUAGAGAGAAAACCUCAUUGUAGUCAACUCCUCCUUUUUGUGAGUACCUUUUAGCAAUUAACCUUACUUUGAAUUGUAUACCUUUCUUUUUUGUUACUCCUUCCUCCUUUUUAUAUACCCACUUAAACCUAAUUAGCUUCUUUCCAUUUAGAUGUUUAAUUAAUUCUAAAGUUUAGUUUUUGUGUAAAGACACCAUCUUUUCCACCAUGGCCUCUAUCCACUUUUCUUUUUUUGGAUUGGAAACUACCUCCUGGAAUAAAGAAGGUUCUCUACAACUAGUUAGUAUUCAUACCUUAUAGGAGGUUUAUUGUGUGGCUAGGUUUAUCUAUGGCAAUGCUGCACUCCUAUUGUUAUUGCUUAUGUAGAACAUCAUCAUCUUCUAAUUUUAUUGAAGAUUGAACUGUCUUGAAGGAACUAAGAAGUUCAUUUUCAACCUUUGAGGAGCUAUUAAAUGAUUCACCCUUAUGAGGUUCCUUAUUCCUUAACAUAGCCUGUUAAUAAAAAAUGGCAUCCUUGCUAAUUGUCUCCUUCUGUACUUUUGAAUCCCAUAGUCUAUACCUUUUUACUUCUCUUUCAUAACCAACAAAAAUGCAUAUUCUAGACUUGGGAUCCAACUUGAACCUUUCACAUUAGGAAUAUGUGUAUAGUUGGACUACAAAAAAUUUAAAAUAGAAAGUAAUCUGCAUCUUUACUGUCCAAACUUCCUUUGCACAUUUUAUUUCCAACCUCCAAGAUGGUAACCUAUUAAUAAUGAAACAAGAUGUGCUAACUAAUUUUACCUAGAACUAUUUAGAUAAGUUAGCUUAUAUCCUCGUCAAUUUAGUGCUGUCCAAAAGAGUCUUGUUCAUCCUUUUUGCAACCCUAUUCUAUUGUGGAGCCUAAGACUAAGAAAUUUCUCUUAAUUCCCUCUAAUAUGUAAAAAUUGAUGAACACUUGUGAUGUGUACUUGCCACCAUUGUCAAACUUGAGGAAUUUGAUUUGCUUCUUUGUCUGCCUGUCCACCUUGGCUUUCCACUUCUUGACAAUAGAGAAUACCUCUAACUUUUAUUCAUGAAAUACACCCAAACUUUCCUGGAGUUCAUUGAUAAAACUCACAAAGUAUCUAGCUUUACCUUUUAUUGGUACUUGUGCUAGACCCCAUACUUCUGUAUGUACAUGUUUUAGCAUCUUUUUGCUCUUAUGUGAGGAUAUUUUAAACUAGACUUGAUUGUGUAUCCCAAAGGCACAAAAUUCACAAAAGUCAAUCUUACACUGUUUAACACCUUCCAAUAGCUUCCUUUUAUGGAUGUUCUUUCAUGCAUGGUUCAUCCAUAUGCUUUAGUUGUAUGUGCCAAAGAAUAGAUAUAACUAUGCUUGACUUUAAAGAGACUAUAGAUCCCAUAGCUAUACUACUCAUUAGCCCGUAUAAGUUGUUCUCAAUCUGUUUCCAUUUCAUCACUAUGAUAGCACAUUUGGAAAUCUUGAGAAUUUCAUUGCUUGUAGCGGUAGAAAAUCUAUGCAAGGUCUUUUCUAACUAUCCUAGUGAGAUCAAGUUCUGUCAUAAUUUUGGAAUAUGUUAAACAUUUUCCAAAGUUCUAUCAACACCACUAAGCAUCUUAACAAUCAUUAUCCCCAUCCCCACAACCUUACAAAAAUGCCCAUCACUCAACUUAACACUUGCAACAUCAUAAUUUUCAUAUCUAUGAAACCAGUAUCUAUGUGUAGUAUAAUGAG
rnacentral:misc_RNA from 1 species